UGCCCGAAAGGGUGACGAAGCGACGCCGCGUGGGUGAGGAAGGCCUUCGGGUUGUAAAGCCCUGUCAGGAGUUAAGAAAUGUAGACUCGCUAAUAUCGGGUCUAUUUGACAAAGGCUCCAAAGGAAGCCACGGCUAACUCUGUGCCAGCAGCCGCGGUAAUACAGAGGUGGCAAGCGUUGUUCGGAAUUAUUGGGCGUAAAGAGCACGUAGGUGGAUUUGUAAGUCAGACGUGAAAGCCUUCUGUUCAACGGAAGAAUUGCAUCUGAAACUACAAGCCUUGAGUGUAGGAGGGGAGAAUGGAACUUCUGGUGGAGCGGUGAAAUGCGUAGAUAUCAGAAGGAACGCCGGCGGCGAAAGCGAUUCUCUGGCCUAUUACUGACACUCAGUGUGCGAAAGCUAGGGGAGCAAACGGGAUUAGAUACCCCGGUAGUCCUAGCCGUAAACGAUGGGCACUAAGUAGAGGGGU
rnacentral:rRNA from 1 species